AUUGAACGCUGGCGGCAUGCCUUACACAUGCAAGUCGAACGGCAGCACGGGAGCAAUCCUGGUGGCGAGUGGCGAACGGGUGAGUAAUAUAUCGGAACGUGCCCAGUCGUGGGGGAUAACGUAGCGAAAGCUACGCUAAUACCGCAUACGAUCUAUGGAUGAAAGCGGGGGAUCGCAAGACCUCGCGCGAUUGGAGCGGCCGAUAUCAGAUUAGGUAGUUGGUGAGGUAAAGGCUCACCAAGGCCGACGAUCUGUAGCUGGUCUGAGAGGACGACCAGCCACACUGGGACUGAGACACGGCCCAGACUCCUACGGGAGGCAGCAGUGGGGAAUUUUGGACAAUGGGCGCAAGCCUGAUCCAGCAAUGCCGCGUGCAGGAUGAAGGCCUUCGGGUUGUAAACUGCUUUUGUACGGAACGAAACGGUGAGCUCUAAUACAGUUUGCUAAUGACGGUACCGUAAGAAUAAGCACCGGCUAACUACGUG
rnacentral:rRNA from 1 species